AUGAUUGAGACUCUGCCACACAAACAUCUCACGGAGAUGGUUGUCACGCUCUGGUCGAUUUGGUCAGCUCGUCGGAAGGCAAUCCAUGAAGGUAUAUUACAGAGUCCGCAUGCUAUCCAUUCAUUUGUGCUGAAUCUUAUUACGGAGCUGGAGGCGCUGAGAAGGCCGGAUACAGACAAGGUUGCACCGAGUAGGGCAGGUGCAAACUCACGACAACCUUGGAAGGCGCCGCCGGAUGGGGUUGUCAAGAUUCAUGUAGAUGGGGGCUUCUCUAGGACAGGUGAAAGAGGUGCUGCAGCAGCUGUGUGCAGAGAUCGCAGUGGAACUUUUCUGGGCUCCUCGUCACUUGUUGUCUCCGGAAUCACUGAACCGGCUAUCCUUGAAGCUUUGGCAUGCCGGAAGGGACUUUCACUUGCACUUGAUCUCGGGGUAGACAAAGUGGUGAUUGCAUGCUGCAUCAGGAUUCAGGAUGGGAACCGAAGGGAGGCACCCGGUUAUUGUGAAGGAGAUUGUAACACGGGUAAAUGA
rnacentral:rRNA from 1 species